rnacentral:rRNA from 1 species
CGCCAGACUCCUACGGGAGGCAGCAGUGGGGGAUAUUGCACAAUGGGGGGAACCCUGAUGCAGCGACGCCGCGUGGGUGAAGAAGCGCCUCGGCGCGUAAAGCCCUGUCAGCAGGGAAGAAAAUGACGGUACCUGACUAAGAAGCCCCGGCUAACUACGUGCCAGCAGCCGCGGUAAUACGUAGGGGGCAAGCGUUAUCCGGAUUUACUGGGUGUAAAGGGAGCGUAGACGGCUGUGCAAGCCAGAUGUGAAAGCCCGGGGCUCAACCCCGGGACUGCAUUUGGAACUGUGUGGCUGGAGUGUCGGAGAGGCAGGCGGAAUUCCUAGUGUAGCGGUGAAAUGCGUAGAUAUUAGGAGGAACACCAGUGGCGAAGGCGGCCUGCUGGACGAUGACUGACGUUGAGGCUCGAAAGCGUGGGGAGCGAACAGGAUUAGAUACCCGCGUAAUC